ACAAACUGAAUUAAUCUUUCGAGUUUCGAUGAUAGGGUAACAAUUAACAAACAAACAAACAAGUGAAGAGAAGUAAACACAAAAAUAUCUCUCAUGAAUCGAUUUAUGGAUCUGUAAUCGAAUCGAUCUUCCUUUAAUCAAUUUUCUCAUUCCACCGUUCAACAUCCGAUUCAGAUGUGGAAAUCCUGGAUCUGUGGGUACAAAAUAUCCGAUAAGCUUUUGAAGCCGGCGAGUUUUGCUUUUGCAGGGAGCACGAAGAGGAGUGUUAUUAGCUUCUCUGCAAACCGAGAUAUGUUAUACCCAGAGGGCCGUAGAGAUAUAUGGGUGGGGUGGUUUCAAAUGGUGAUGGUGGAGGAUUACAGAUUUGAGUUGGCGAUACAGCUCGGUUGGCAGUCGCGAAAGGACAUUACUGCUGUAGAGGCACAAAAUUGAGUCUAAACGGAAGCAGCUUGGAGAAUUAGCUAUGUCAAUUAAUGUUCGAUGAUUACUAUGAAGAUGGAUUUGAUGAAGCUGGCAGCACUUGCUAAAGAGCAAAGAAAGAACAAUGAGCCUCAAGGAGACUUAUGGGAAGUCAUUUGCAGGUCAGUCGGUGAAUGAUCUUAAAGAAUAAUAAGGUCUUAACUCAAGACUGCAAAUCGAAUGAUGCAAUGGCCAAAUUCGUUUUGGUGGAUGCUGCAUACAAGAAGAGUACUGCAGAUUGUUAUUACAGCUUGAAAAAGACAUCAUGGGUUCUAGAUUUGAUGUGAGAGCUGUUGCAAAGACGUGUCUCAGGGAUAUCGCAAGGUUUGCUGAUAAGAGAUAUAUGUUAAUGGUUGCUAGUAGUGAGUUUUCAAGCUGUUAGUGUGUUCUGUUUUUAACAAGAUGGUUGAGCAGGGGUUCUGUUCUAGUUUCAGUUGUUUAAA